rnacentral:rRNA from 1 species
UGGGGGAUAUUGCACAAUGGGCGAAAGCCUGAUGCAGCGACGCCGCGUGGGGGAUGAAGGCUUUCGGGUUGUAAACCUCUUUCGCUAUCGAACAAGGCCCGCUUAGGGUGGGUUGAGGGUAGGUGGAGAAGAAGCGCCGGCUAACUACGUGCCAGCAGCCGCGGUAAUACGUAGGGCGCGAGCGUUGUCCGGAAUCAUUGGGCGUAAAGGGCUUGUAGGCGGCUUGUUGCGCCUGCUGUGAAAACGCGGGGCUUAACUUCGAGCGUGCAGUGGGUACGGGCAGGCUUGAGUGUGGUAGGGGUGACUGGAAUUCCAGGUGUAGCGGUGGAAUGCGCAGAUAUCUGGAGGAACACCGAUGGCGAAGGCAGGUCACUGGGCCAUUACUGACGCUGAGGAGCGAAAGCAUGGGUAGCGAACAGG